rnacentral:rRNA from 1 species
AACGAACGCUGGCGGCAGGCUUAACACAUGCAAGUCGAGCGCCCCGCAAGGGGAGCGGCAGACGGGUGAGUAACGCGUGGGAAUCUACCUAGUCCUUCGGAAUAGCUCCUGGAAACGGGAAUUAAUACCGGAUACGCCCUUUUGGGGAAAGAUUUAUCGGGAUUGGAUGAGCCCGCGUUGGAUUAGCUAGUUGGUGGGGUAAUGGCCUACCAAGGCGACGAUCCAUAGCUGGUCUGAGAGGAUGAUCAGCCACACUGGGACUGAGACACGGCCCAGACUCCUACGGGAGGCAGCAGUGGGGAAUAUUGGUCAAUGGGCGCAAGCCUGAUCCAGCCAUGCCGCGUGAGUGAUGAAGGCCCUAGGGUUGUAAAGCUCUUUCACCGGUGAAGAUAAUGACGGUAACCGGAGAAGAAGCCCCGGCUAACUUCGUGCCAGCCGCCGCAGUAAGAC